ensembl:lncRNA
CUUCUCUUGAUUAUUAUCUUAAUGUUUGAAAGUAAACAGGUUAAAUAGGCCUUUCUGUAAAACAUCAAUCAGCAGGUUAAAUAUAAAGGCACACUUCAAAUUCCAAAAGUCACACUAAUUAACUUUGUAAAGGAGAAAAAAAGAAACAACAACAAAAGAAAUGACUGCUUGUCCCAAAAGCUGAUCCACCACAACAGCAAUCUGAAAGAACGUCAGCCUCCUUUGAUCUCCCCAUACUGUUUUGGAAAUUGCAUAUUCAUCUCCUCUGUUCCUUUAGGCCAUUUCUGACAAAAGCAUUCUAACAAAAGCAAAGAGUUUUCCAGUUCCCAUCUUUAUUGUUUCCAUUUCCCUCCGUGUUGUCACCCUUUGUGUAGCAACAUCAAAUAUAAUUAUUUUGCAGACUGUAGAGUCCAAUCGGCAUCUUCUUAUUGUAUGGUGCACAGCAUGGACACGCAACUACAGAAGAUCAAGGUGGUGAGGCUAAAAGAACUGCUGUCUGUGCACUUUUUGACGAUCCAAAGGGCAAGUAAAAUACAAGGUUCCUACCAAUUUCAGCUCUUAAUAUUUUCUUUUGCUUGUGGCUGGGCUACAUACAUACACAGUUGCCAGAAAUGGCUCUGCUGAUGGCACUGGGUGAAGUUCUGGGCUGAAGGUGAAGGCUGGGUAGGUCACAUCCACCCUACCAGGGCAUCACACAUUUGUCUGGGUCAGUGUGCAAGCUCAUUCCCUGAAAGGCAAACACAAAGCUAGUGAAUGGCUGAUACUGGAAAGAAGGCCCUUUUGAGUUGGGCCCUCAACACUGGGAGAUUAAGCCAGUUGAAUGGAAGAUGUAAGCUGCUGCUUUUCCUCCACAUUGCCACAGCACUGGGAUGAGAGGACAGGGGUGCCUGGGGCUAGUGUACAGUAAUUGUGCAUCACUGCCUAUCCUCGGCCAGCAACAGGCAGGUCAGGUGGGAGGAAGGCAGUCCCAGAAAGACAAGUAGAAAUGUAGUGGCUUAGAACCACUUUAAAAUGCUACCAAACAGGCAACAAGAACUGUAGUUACAGAGCAAAGAAGAAAAAAAGAGGAAUAGUUUUUCACUGGGUUCAGUAACAGUGCAGCUGUGUAAUCCCUGUGAUAACCAGCAGAAGAUGUGGACUGAAAAUUCUGAUAUACAGAGAGGAAAACGGAAUCUUAAGAUAUUGCUUACAGGUACAUUUCGGAUGGUCAAAAAGACAGUACUUCUUUGGUUAUCUACAUUUUCCAUGCUUGCAAUGAUUAUGGAGGAAAAAGGAUUGAUCAAGUCCACUGAUUUCAACUAGCACCCGCAGCGGAUCCUCAUUUUUCUCUCAGCUUCCCACAAGUCAGUUCAGGGAAACAGCACGGUAUGCUCAAAGAAUCUGGUGUCAUGUGAUAAGUCUGCAACAAGCACACAACUAACAGGCAAUAAACACGUCACUGUCCAGAAAACUAACUUAAGAUAGCAAUUUUACCAUUUUCUUAUAUACUUACUUGCAGCUGCAGUUGUAAUGAUUAUCAGCUCAGGUUUCUGGAAAGAAAACACAAGCAGGACAAGACAAGAAGUAAGGAACUAAAACCUAUGGUUUUCUAUUGAUGUUUUGAUAUAGAAAUGAAAUUACUGAAAAUUAUUAGCAUGAAACUUGACAGUCCUCCCUCGACAGCAGGUGAUGACACUUUCAAUCUUUGCUCACAAAGAAGUAUUAUAUAACCUUUGGCUAAAGUUUCCUGACAGAUUUUUGUACUCCCACAAAUGACUGAGUAGUUGCUUUUCACCUAACGUCAUUUACUUACACCAGAAGCUGGAACCAGAUGAUCUUACAGGUCCCUUCCAACCAAGCCUUCCUAUAUUCCUAUGACCCUAUAUUUUAGCACGAAACUUUAUUUCGUACCUCAAAUGUUCUUUUUCUUCCCAUUUGUUCCCAUUUGACCUUAUUCAAAGGUCUUUGAUCAUUUUAAGUAUGUUUCCCUAGAUUCACUUACUAUGUUUAACCACAGAGAAUGGCACACAUGCUCCUGGGAAUUUACUUCUCGGAGGCAAUACUUCCUGUUGGUAGUAAGCGCAGUUCUGCUGCUUGUGACAGAAAGGAGUGUGAUUUGCCACUAUUAGUGGUUCAGCUAUCUAUUAUUGCCACAGCUCUUCUGGGGUUACAUGAUGGUAGGCACUCACCAGAGCAUAAGGCAGAAGUGGAAAUGAGGAAGAGAAGAGACCAUGGUGCACCCCAGUUCCAGUUUGGCAAUGCAGAUGUGGAUGUAUUUCUUCCGAAGCUACACAGCAUGGAAAAGCCAAGAAAUCUGUUUUCUCCGCCUUCCAAUCCCAGUUACGCAUACCUGCUGUGAUGCCCUUUGCACCAACAUUAGCACAUUUCACUCGUCAAGGAACUGCAUUAUUUCACCAAACUUAGCAUAAAACUAAAGAAAACGAAAGAAAAAAAUACAUUAACUGACCGAGUGAUGACUGACUUACAUUGUUUUGCUUGUUUGAUGUGACUUCAACUGUUUAAGCUGCAGAUACGUCUUGCAUUUGCCCUGCACGUAACCUUACCAGUUUGCAUAGACCAUCUGAAAGACGACAGAUACCAUGGUUUAUUCUAAACUGCCUUACUUCAUUGUGUUGCUUUUUUUUUUUUUUUUUAAUAUCCUAUUCCCACUUGGGAGAUUCUCAUUUCAUAACACCUAUGUGACUUCUCACAGUUCAUUUCUGUGUCUGCUUCCCCACGUGAGAAAUGCUUUCUUCCCAACUGCAACUCCAAGUAUUUAAUUUUAAUUUCCUUCUUAGAACUUAAUCAAAAUCAAGAAUAUUUUUAUUACUCUCCCUUUUGAGGUCAAAAUGGGUUCACAGUACAUCUUAAAACAUUUCCAUUAUUGUUUCCACUGAAUGCAGGGAAAAUAAAAUGUUGACUUCAUUAAAAAAAAAAAAAAGAAUAAAAUCACACCAGAGAUAAUUUUCAUAAAUUAGAUGUACAGAUUUCACCGCUCAGAAACAAGGAUGUCAAACGUGUCCAGCUUGUGCAACCUCCUACACAGAACCACAAGGUUUCAAUGAUAAGUUACUGAAACCACAGCAUUCAGCUUUUUGUCCAAGACUGCCAACUGCUGCUGCUUCAGUGCGAUGACUGAUCGCACUAUAGUUUUUCCAGGGUUCGCUAAAGGUGCUGACCUGUGAAAAAAAAUGAAACUCACUAUGCAAAGCAACUGUUUCAUGUAGCUUUUAAAAUGUGUAUGAGUGCACAUAUAAAAGAUAUAUCUGUGGAUGCAGGCGUACACAUCCACGUCCGUUACAUGCAUCUGGUCGGAGAUGAAGGCAGACCAAACGAUUUCUGAAAAAAUUGACCACGUAAAGCUUUUUUUUUUUUUUUUUUCCAGAGAUACUGCAUUUAAAUUUUAUCUGUUAAGUGUAGUAUUAGGCAGCCACCUCCGAGCAUUCCCUAACCUGCUGUCAACAAUGAAAUAGUACACUUACUGAAGUAUAAAGUCAUAACAAAUUGCAUUAUAUUCGAAGAGUAUGAGAAAUGGGACAGUUAGUAUUCCUAUUUAAGAUAAUUCUAUAAUGGCAUAGCUGCAACCACAUCAGAGAUGUCAUUGAUAUAACUGCCUGGCAAAAACAAACAAACAAAACAAAACUCAACAAAAUGGUGACAUCAUACCUACAAGUUUUAAAUGUAGACCAGGCUGCUGAGUUAAGACUUUCUUAAAUUCUCUUCCUUAAAAUGAUUCUGUCAGAAACUGUAUUUCAGCCACAGUGAAAGGGCUUCAUUCUAUCUGCACUUGCAACCGAUUACUGUUCCUGGAAUACUGUUGCUCAGUGAUACCCAGUGGCCCCCUCAGCCCUGUGUGCUAGGAGGUACUUGUUGCGUAGGCGAUCCAUGGUUUUGAUCUGCAGCAGAGCCAGUAGAAGAGGAGUUUCUGACUUCUAGCAAUGCAUUGCUGGUUGUAAACCUGUCAGUUGUGCUAUGGAGAAGGCAGAGUUGGCAGUAAAAUAGUUCUAAUCAAAACAAAGUAAAACGAACAAGCAAACUCUGAAGUUGUUUGCUAGAAGGAUUUUUAACUUGGAUCGUUUCAUUGAUACCAGCAGCUGCAACAGAGGCUCCUGAAAGACCAAUACACUGUGGCAAAGAGCCACAAGAGAAUGGCGGUGACAUGGAGUAGAAAGUUCUUUAAAUGGCCUCGCUGCUGAAGAAGGCAGUUGUGUUACUACAACCUGAGGUUUGCAGGGGUGGCUCCUGCAUCAACCUGACCUUUGGUUUCACAGUGUGACAACAGAGCCUCUUCUCUGCUGCAGGAGCUGAAGCACAAGCAUCUGAUGGCUGGUACAGUGGUUUGCAGCACUCAGUGUAGUAGUGCACAAUAGAAGCUGAAGAGCUGGUCUGCAAGCAGAUAUGUGGAGUCACUUCAAGGGGAGGCAGACCACAUCCUCCUGUGUAUUCUCACGUUGCUUCUCUGCAUCCACUAUUUCUCACUGUGCCACAUAAGUGCCCCAGCAUGGUAUGGCAUGACACAGUUCCUUGACCUGGGAAACAAAAGCCAUGGCAGGAGAACAAUGUCAAUGAGUUUACUGAUCUUUAAACCAGAAGUUUAUUUAUUAAGUAUUAUUUACCAUUAAAUAAUUCUAAUAAAAACUGUGUAUGCACUCACAGACAUUUAGACAUUUAUGAUCAGUAGUACAAUCUAAAGACUGCAAUAUUUUGGUAAUACAAGAGAACCAGAAAGAGAAACUAUUUAGAAAUAAAAGCUGCAUUCAGUUAUCUGCUUCUACCAAGACAUGUCAAAAAGUAAAACAUAAAAAGCAAAAAGCUGUAUUUGAUUUUAAAGAUAAAUUGAUGUAGAAGGUAUAUGUAAGGAAGGUAAAAUCAGUGCAGAUUUGCUGGAGAGGAGGGAGGAGAGGCCACAGUCCCUCACUAUCUGUGUCCCUCUGUUUGCUCUAGGCCAUGCGAUAGGGAAACAAUUUUACUGCUGGGGAGAUCCCACACCAGCACAGCAGCCUCAUCAAACCCAGAGAAUGACUUCCAGAAUCUAUAACAAACCUCUAAUUUUGAUAUUGAAAUACAGACUGUAAUGUCAACACUGACACUAAAGGAAGGCCCAAAAGCCAAGUGGAGUAGUUUUUGCUAUGUCAUACACAGCCAAAAACUGCAGCAGAUUUGCCCAUUUUGAGCCUGUAAUGGUUUGGUUUUUACUUGUUUGGUAGUGUUGAUAUUGUAAAAUAGAAGUAAAUCUCUUUCAAUUUCUGUUCCCUCUCUUCAUAAACAUUAAUGAAUUAACAAAUGGAGACUUCUUCUUUGUGCUGUUCUACUUUUUCUGUUCCCUGCCCAACAUCUGCAUACAUCCCAUUGGAGUUCUCUUUCUGAACAUUUUGAAUGAACAGGACAUUUAUGUUUGGGUUUCAGUACCACCACAUCACAGUUUGUCACACCACAGGCAAUACUGUCCCUUAAUGGAAUUAUUCCAAAACAUGUUACAUAUAGAGAACACUCCCAUGGUAGAAGACUGCACACCCGUUGGCCAUGUUUCCUAAGAAGAUCUGAAGAGGCACAGUGAAAUGCCACCAUGCAGCAGAGCUGCAGGAGAUUUCAAUGCUGCAAUACAGAAAGGAGCACUCACUUUUCUUGCUUAUAGCCCACACCUCCCUGUACACCUGUGUCUUUCAGCUGAAGAACUACUUUCUGUCCUCAAAUUGCUGUCCUGAUAUCCUGACAGCUGCUGCCUUGUCUUCUGAAGGUGGCUGUCCUUUAGUAGUGGGGAAAGAUGUGCUGUAAAUAAAAAUGAAAACACCCUAUAGAAGCUGGAACACAGCACAAGCACAGAAAAAGCUGAGCUCUUAUCGUUACCAAGAUUGAACUGAUAAGGACUCAUGCAGGAGAGCAUAGCUGAGACGUGAAAGAGACUGGAUGACGUGGAUGCCUGCAAUGGCAGAAGACUAGACUCAGUGACCCAGCAAGGCUUAUUCCAUCCUACACGCAGAGAAAGGUGCUACCCAGGAGGUGGGUGGCUGCUCCAACAUUAAAGGAAAGGCUUGAAGUGAUAUGGCCUCAAAAGAACAGUUCUUCUGAGUAUCCUGUGCAGUGCAUAGCUGGUCCAGCCUUGUCUUAGGCUCUGGGAGUCUCAAUGCAGGCAUUUCUCAAUACAGUUUGUUAUUAUUUGUUGAUAAGAAAUACAUCAACCACACUUCAUGCAUAACAAACAUCACUGGGUUGACUGAGGAGCAAGAUAUGCCUGGUAUUUAACAAAUAUACAAUUACUGUUAAUGUUAAAUUGUUCUGCUUUGCAGUCAUAGUCACUCCUUCCAAAAAAAAAAAAAAAAAAAAGGAACACUAAGACAAUAAUGCCCAGUACAAAGCACAUGAGACAGCACGGGAACAUUUGCAAAUGGCUUUGCAUUACUCAUCCAUCUUCACUAGCUGAAGCUGUUUCCAAAGCUUAGGCAAAAACAUGAACACGGCUGUACUAGAUUCAGAAAGUCUCUGCCUGUUCUUGAAAGCAGGUUCUAUUUUCCAUCCAAGUCUCUUUCAUUCUUACAUUGUCUUUUUCUGUUGCGUGGCAGCAUUGCAUCUCAGCCCUAACUGCAAUCAAGAACCAGACAUAAUGUAGCUGAUGUUCACUACUCAAAGUGUAAAAUAAUGAAUUUUAAACCUAGUAAUAGCCAGAGGUUGAACAUAGGCAUACCCACAGUGCUGAGGUACCAGUUCAGUCCCUACUAUGAACCACAGAUAUGGGCGUUCUUUGACACUCAUGGAAGUUCUCUGCCAACAGAAAAAAUCUGCCCAGUGAUUUCUCUGUGCUAUAUACCAGGUCUUAUUUUUCUCUUCUCAAUGACUUCUGGAUUUGAAAAAAUGUGUGGGACAGACAUGAUGCCUUGCCAGAUCUGUGUGCUAGUUCUGCUCCAGGUGUCCAUCAUUUUGUGCUAGUUAAAAGACACAAGUGCUGGGGCUUGUGGAGUCACAUAUUUAGUCCUUAUGUGGAAGACACUCCACAUGUUUGGAGAAUUUCUUGCUCGUGACUUUGGUCUGGUUGGGCAAUUAUGGUAAUGGCAUUUUUACCGUAUCAUGAAGAGUAACAGGAGGAUGAUUCUGUUCUUUCAGUAUCCAGAAGCAAGGAAGAUGGAAUACAACAGAGUUACUUUAUUUUGACUCACCAAUAAUGAACUUGUAAGAUUCUACUUUAUAACUCAGCCAGAUGAGCACUUGUGCUCUUUUCCUUGCUUCCCAGCAACUAGAAGUUGUUACGAAUAGCUCAAUGUACUUGCCCUUACAUGAUAUUAGAAGAAUCUUCUGUAAUAAAAGCCCUUACUUGGCAUCCCUUUUAUUUUCAAUACAUUAUUUAAGGACAGAAGUACACAGUCUCCUGACGCAGCUGCUCCCUUUGUUUUUCCAAUUCCUUCAUCUACUGCAUGGGAUCUUUUUAUUUGCCAAUGUUAGACUUCAACGUGGAUUAGAAAUUGUCUAUAACAUAAUACUGUGGAGAAACAUUAUGGAGAAUCUCAAUAGUUUUAUUGCACUGUAUGCAGUCUUAAUUUUUCAGCGCCUUUUCACCACAUUGAGAGUUGUAUUUAUUCCAAUUUUCAUAGUAAAUAUAACUAAGAAGAGUUUUUUUUUCCCCUGCUUUUGGUAGUUAAUUUUCCUCUUUUCUAAGCAAGGUUAGAAGACAGAAGGAUUGCACAAAGUUAACAAGAAGAAAAUAAUAUUUGGAGAAAGUUGUCAGAAAUGUUUUAUAAACUAGGUUUCGUAGAUCUGUGUUACAAAGGUCCUCUUCCUAGGCUCCCAUUUUUCAGUUUGCUUUCCUACACUCUCCCCGUGAUGCAGAUGGCAUAUAUGUGGAAUCCCACAGACAUAAGUUACACAAAUUCUUUGAAAGCAGCUCCGUGCAUUACAGGCUUCUCUCUUUUUUGGGGGGGAGGCUUAGCAAUGACUAAGCUAUGGGAAAAGCCUCCAUUCAGCUACACUGUAAAGGAAAAUGUGGGUGGGGAAACCGGACUUUCAGGGUCGAAGUCAUUCAGUACUUGGGUGUUGAGUGGCAAUGUCGCAAAAAGGAAAGAGGAGGACUCAGCUUAAUGGGCCAGGAAUGGGAGGUUUUUCAGAUUUCCACUCUGCAGCCAUCCCUCCAAGGCCAGGCAGGCGACAGUGCGAGAGUAAGUGUCAUUAUUUGACUCAGCAUGUUCCUAAGCCACAAAAGAGAAGUGACGUAUGUAAAAACCAUGUUGCUCGCUCUUAUCUGAUGAGAGGGAUAUCAAGGAGUUUUCUCCACUGCCUAGACAUAAAGGAAGUUCUUUGUCCUUAUAUUUCACUUUCUCUGUCAGUGUGCCUUUCUUCAAUUAUUAUGCUCUCAGAGCCUCUAACACAAAACAGAAGACUAUACAGCUUCAGAGAAAUAAUGCACAAUCACUUGCUAUCACAUCACCAAAUACCUGUUUAGUUUCCCAUUCUAAUUGCUUCACCAACUUCAUCACUGAUUUAUGACAUAAUAUAUUUAAUUUAGGUACCUCCAAUAAACCCAUGAAUUAUCCUGCUGGACCAGUAAAGAGAUGAGGUCUGCGAUAUUUCUGUGAUGCUUCUGAGUAUUAAGUGACAAUGCUUCACUAAACACCUGCUGCCCAAGCGCUCUCUGAUGCUGUUGUACAGGCAUUCUUUCACACAGAAGGUUUCACUGUAAAAUACACAGAGAUUUUAACCACCACCUACCAUUCACAUUAAUGUCCCCCCUGAUGUCAUAAACUGCCUUUUACAGUGCACUGAUAUAAAAAGCGUCUUUAGGACUACAUGCAGCGUGCACAACCUGGCAGCUAUCAGCAGAGUUCUCCUUUAGUCUGCAAUGUCAUUAAAUAUUCCUAAACAUGAAGGGAGAACCAGAGUCUAACAAAACAGCUUUUUUUUUAAAAAAUGAAGCUUGCAAUGACACAACCUCCUUUAAACAAGGAGAGAAUUUUAAGACAGUUCUCACCAUGCUUGAGGCUUGGCGCAGGGAAUUUAAAGCC